UACGUAGGGUGCAAGCGUUAAUCGGAAUUACUGGGCGUAAAGCGCGUGUAGGCGGCCAAGUAAGUCUUACGUGAAAUCCUGAGGCUCAACCUCAGGCCUGCGCGGGAUACUGCUUGGCUAGAGUCCGGAAGAGGAGAGUGGAAUUCCUGGUGUAGCGGUGAAAUGCGUAGAGAUCAGGAAGAACACCGGUGGCGAAAGCGCUCUGCUAGGCCGCAACUGACACUCAUGGACGAAAGCUAGGGGAGCGAAUGGG
rnacentral:rRNA from 1 species